UAUAUCUAAAAAUCAUAUUUUCCUGUGGGCAAUAUUCUAAGGACUUAUUUUCAAAUGUCAAGAAACAUCUGGUUAAAAUAGAUUAAAUACAGAUCAGCAGCAAUAAAGACCACACAGAAUUUAGCAAGUCAGUUGGCAGAGUCAUAGUCUCAAGUAGUUGGACUGCUCAUAAAUUGCUUAAGUAUAUAAAACCUAGCUUAAAAGCUUGAAGCAAACUUUAAAGUUACCUCAAGAAUUAAUAUACAAUGACAGGGAGAAAACAGGGAAUAAUUAAUUAGGGCCCUGUUACUAUGGGUUAAUCUCUUAGAUCAAGAGUAGAUUUUGCAUACUCUGCUGUGAGAGUUUUCCUUUCAUUUGCUGGAAUUCGUUUGAGUAUUUCAGCCUGCAGACAAAGAGUAGCAAACAAGAUUUUUCAAAGAUUACAGGAAAAUAAAGUAAUUUAAGAGUCAAUGAGACUUCAUGCAGCAGAUACUAAUAAUUAAGAAGCUUUUUCUACUGGAAUGAUCUACCACUAAUUUAACUAAACUUCAUAUUACUUGAAAGUAUUCACUUUCUUAAUCACAGAUGCACAAAACAGCUUUCUUUUUUAAUACUCAUUAAAAUACAUCUGGGGUAUUCAGCAAAAACUAGUUUUGGGUAGAAGACCAUACAGGCUACAGUUGGUGUCCCUUAGAGAGCAGUGAGACCCAUGCUGAAGUAGAGCAGCAAGCUGUGAUUCAGAACACACCGAAGUGCAAUUCUUUGUUCCCUGGCUGCUCCUCACACACUGCACUCGCUGUCACAGCAGCCCAAGCACAGCAGCUACAGAGGUAGCUCCCUCUGCAGAGGGCAGCUACAACCCAGGCACGCACACAAACAGGACAGCAAACUGAAGCAGGAAUACAAUCCAAAUGAAUUCUGGGCAGGAUUACCUGGCUAUCAAACAAUCCCAACUAGGAUGCCAGCUCGGUUCCUAUGACGAACAAUAAAUAACAACUCUCUGCUCUUAGGACUUUACUUUCACAUAUUUGGGAAUCAUCAACUGUGACAUAUUUACUGAAAUAAAUGCAACAAAAGCCCCAAGAUAACAAAACAGUAUUUUGUCCCUUUUAAUAUCCCAAAUUUAUAUUAUUGUACUUAUUUCUGAUGCAAUUAUUUUAGUGUGCAUGCCAUUAACUCAACGACAGAGCAGCAAGCAUCAAAGUUUUCCCCCUUCCUGCCUUCUAGACAAGUCAGCCCUCCAAAGUCUCUUAGAUUUCUCUUGCCACGUUUAAGAUUGUUGUCAACUAAAUCCUAGGGACAGGAGAUAACAGAAUACAUCCUCCAACAUCAAUCACCUAGAGAAAGGCUCUCGAACAGAUCAAUCACAAAUUCACGAGGAAGAUAUUUGUGUAGCACUGUAUAGAUUAACCUAGUUCUAUUUUUAGGUUACUCCAGCCACUCCUAGCUGCGACAACAAAGCGCCUUCUCUGCAAUCACGUUUCUAACCCCUCAAAAAAUAAAAAAAAAUAAAUUAAAUGAAGACGACUUUUGAAACACACUGUUCCCAGUCUUCUGCCCCAAAAGCCUGCAGAGCAAGCCAGAAUCUUGGCAGCUCGUGCCCGCACAGAGCCACGCUGCAGCCAGCCCAACAGCGGUCGGGUGGCAGGGGCCGCAGCUAUGCUGGCUGCCUCUCCCAUCGGCUCCCCAGGCAACUGGAAACACCGCCUGAUCCACAGCGUGGGAAGAUCUGAGACGCGAGAUUAGCGUUGAAGGAACUACAACCAGAUAACAGCGUCUGCCCCGGCUACUGCCGUGCUAAAACACGCGCUCUGCUCUGCACAGCGCGUGGAUCUGGAGGUAUCAUCUCUUGGAGGACAAUGGGUGACGGUGACGUGUCAAGUAAAAGAUAUCACUGGCCAUGCAGAAGAAAGAUAAAUGUCCUUCCAGCUGUCAAACUCGGUGUACUGACCACCAGCCUGGGGAUGCCCUUUGUCCCACUGCACUUGGUCCUUUACAACUGAUGAGUUGCCACAGGAACUUGUGAUUCAAAUGCAUGAAAUGGAGUCUGUAGUUUAGACUUGGCCAAGACCCCAGAUGCUCAGCCACAGAGUUACUGGAGUAUGUAACAUUAGGACAGCAAGCAGCAAACAUGGCACCUGCUGUGCCCAAAAAGACUCCCCGUGGGCUUCUGUACUUCCAAGAUCUCUGUUCUUGCAUCUUACCUUUGCACAGAAACAUCUAUUUCUCCAUGCUGAUGCCUUGGCAAGGGCUGUGGGCUGUACAGCACUGAAGAGGAUUAGGCAUUUACAUGCAUAGUGAAAACAUAUCAGAGCAUUAAAAAAAUGUAUAUGAUAAAUAAAAACCUUUGUACUUAAAGGUAUACAUGA